AUUGAACGCUGGCGGCAUGCUUUACACAUGCAAGUCGAACGGCAGCACGGACUUCGGUCUGGUGGCGAGUGGCGAACGGGUGAGUAAUACAUCGGAACGUACCCAGUAAUGGGGGAUAACUAUCCGAAAGGAUAGCUAAUACCGCAUACGCCCUACGAGGGAAAGAGGGGGAUCGCAAGACCUCUUGUUAUUGGAGCGGCCGAUGGCGAAUUAGCUAGUUGGUGAGGUAAAGGCUAACCAAGGCGACGAUCAGUAGCGGGUCUUAGAGGACGAUCCGCCACACUGGAACUGAGACACGGUCCAGACUCCUACGGGAGGCAGCAGUGGGGAAUCUUGGACAAUGGGCGCAAGCCUGAUCCAGCAAUGCCGCGUGCGUGAAGAAGGCCUUCGGGUUGUAAAGCGCUUUUGUCAGGGAGCAAAUCCUUGUGGCUAAUACCCACCGGGGAUGAGAGUACCUGAAGAAUAAGGACCGGCUAACUACGUGCCAGCAGCCGCCGUAAUAC
rnacentral:rRNA from 1 species